rnacentral:tRNA from 1 species
UAAUAUGAAAGGAAAUAUCCAAUUUAAUUUCGACUUAAAUAUAUGAUUAUAAAAACUAAUCCAUAUUAA